rnacentral:rRNA from 1 species
AAGGGAGUGAAGGCGGGUUCCGCGCGUCUCCUCACCAGGAGGACUCGCGCGCCCAUAAGCUAUGUGGUGAGUACGCCUCCCCAGGGCACGAUGUGUAGCCGCCUGAGGAGGGGUGAUCGGCCCAACCUGGACUGAGACCCGCCCAGACUCCCUACGGAAGCAGCAGUAGGGAUCUCCGCAUGACGAAGUCUGACGAGCACGCGCGUGAGUGAUGAGUUUCGGAUCGUAAGCUCUGUGUAGGAAGACAAGUGCAAGAGUAACUGCUGCACCUGACGGUACCUACCAGAAAGCACGGCUAACUACGUGCCAGCAGCCGCGGUAAUACGUAGGUGGCAAGCGUUGUCCGGAAUUAUUGGGCGUAAAGCGCGCGCAGGUGGUUCCUUAAGUCUGAUGUGAAAGCCCACGGCUCAACCGUGGAGGGUCAUUGGAAACUGGGGAACUUGAGUGCAGAAGAGGAAAGUGGAAUUUCCAAGUGUAGCGGUGAAAUGCGUAGAGAUUUGGAGGAACACCAGUGGCGAAGGCGACUUUCUGGUCUGUAACUGACACUGAGGCGCGAAAGCGUGGGGAGCAAACAGGAUUAGAUACCCUGGUAGUCCACGCCGUAAACGAUGAGUGCUAAGUGUUAGAGGGUUUCCGCCCUUUAGUGCUGCAGCUAACGCAUUAAGCACUCCGCCUGGGGAGUACGGCCGCAAGGCUGAAACUCAAAGGAAUUGACGGGGGCCCGCACAAGCGGUGGAGCAUGUGGUUUAAUUCGAAGCAACGCGAAGAACCUUACCAGGUCUUGACAUCCUCUGACAACCCUAGAGAUAGGGCUUUCCCCUUCGGGGGACAGAGUGACAGGUGGUGCAUGGUUGUCGUCAGCUCGUGUCGUGAGAUGUUGGGUUAAGUCCCGCAACGAGCGCAACCCUUGAUCUUAGUUGCCAGCAUUCAGUUGGGCACUCUAAGGUGACUGCCGGUGACAAACCGGAGGAAGGUGGGGAUGACGUCAAAUCAUCAUGCCCCUUAUGACCUGGGCUACACACGUGCUACAAUGGAUGGUACAAAGGGCUGCAAACCUGCGAAGGUAAGCGAAUCCCAUAAAGCCAUUCUCAGUUCGGAUGCAGGCUGCAACUCGCCUGCAUGAAGCCGGAAUCGCUAGUAAUCGCGGAUCAGCAUGCGCGAUUGUUAC